rnacentral:lncRNA from 12 species
UUACUCAUUGUCCUUCUCUCCUUGAAGACCAGGUCAGAGCAGCAGCGACCCAGUGACAUCCACCCCAUAUAAGCUCCCUUUGCUGAAUAGUUGUUAUCUUGCCUUCUGCCUCUCAACAGACAGCAAGCUCUUGGAGGAAGGCCCAGGAGGGACCUUAUUUAUUGCUGUUGACACCACAUUCCCUGGGAGCCCACCUUGCACAGCGUCUCCCGCUGCCUGUGGGACCAUUCUGGUUGGAUGCUCUGCCCUCACUCAGCUCCUCUACCAGAAAGAACAGUAACCUCGCUCAGCAGAAAAUUGGCCUCUUGGAAACAACAGUGGCUGCCACUGGAUGGCUAGAAAUGCUUUUUUGCUUGGCUGUAGCUCUUUUAAUGUGAUGAACAUCAGCUGAUUUUGUAAAAAUAAUAAUAACUUUAAACCAAAUAUGAUUAAAUAGAAAAAAAUUAUCUGGAACUUUUCAGGGUUUAAAUGGUGUGUGUGUGUGUGUGUGUGUGUGUGUGUGUGUGUGUGUGUCUGUGUGUUCUAAUUUACUUUUAACCUGCUUUGCCUAUCUGGAUAUGUGUUCAUGAGAUUUUAGAAUUGGGAAAAUUUGAGUAUUGUAAGUCACCAGUUCACAUUUGAAAAGUUUUUGUGCAUAAUAUGAAACACCUUUUAUAAUUUAUUUAAGCAGUCCACUAUUGUUAGACUUUGAGUCGCUUCCAACUAAACUCCUAUUGUUGGACAUUUUGGUUGCUUCCAACUUGGCCCUAACAAACCAACGCAAAGCCAGAAUAACUGCAUGAAAAUAAAUUACAAUAAAGGAGAAGGGGAAAAGGAGGG